ACAGCGCAGCUGGUGCAUGACCAAUGGAUUCUCCAUGGCCCCAGGAGUCUUGGACUCAUUGGGGAUGAUGCAGCGCACAAAGUGGGGGGCACCUGACCACUGCAGCUGUUCCAGGAAACAGGCUCCUCCCCUGGGUCCACUGGCCAGCAGCCAACUUUGAGCUACUCUGAGGAGCCCGGCUGUUCCUUUCAGCAGAUGGCCACUUCAUUGAGAAUAUGCCCAAGGAAGCAAAAGGAUGGCUCUGUGAUUCUUAAUCACUCCCCCCCAGUUACGUAUGGAUUUAUUUCAUCUUAAAUGAGGAUUUUGUAGCUGAAUAAAAGACCCUGGUGACACUCAAUGGAAGAUGUGCGUUAUUCGGUUGAAGUGGACACUCAGACGUCAUUACCUAGUUUCAGGUAUAUUGUCGUUCUAUGGAUGGUAAAUAAUAACAUGUUGACCCGAAGAUUACUUCAGUGAAGAAGGAUUAACUUCAAGUGUCCAGAGCUAGGGUAAGAUUGACAGAUACAGUAGGCUAUGAUAGAUACGUUAGUACCUACCCACGGUACAUGGAUAAGGAAAUGAAUAACCCAAUCUCAUUUUCCUUUGGUCUCUUUAUCUAAGUAUCGCGAGUACCAUGUUGUUGAAUAGGGACUGCAUGAAUGAAUGUCUAAUGAAAACAUCACUGCACACUUUGCUAGGCCUAGCAGCUGGCUAAAUAUGUUAGCUGAUCUUUUUCCAUUUGUCACCUUUGCUUUGUAGGUCUCUAGUAUGAUAUAACAGGUGCAGUUACAGUUCUCUUUCAGUUAAUUUGUUCAGCAUCUCUAUGGGUUAUGCACUCUUGUGCAGACUAUUUCCCGAAGCUCUUUUUAAUCACGCCGUUAGGCCAAUGAGCUGAGAUGUGGGCGGGCCAGCCAACAGUCAGAAUUGUUUCAGCCAGCGAAUACGGUGUAUAUAAAAAAACGGAUCAGCAGGUCUAUCAAGUCAAGUCUGUUUUAUUGUCAAUUUCUUUACAUGCACUGGUCAUACAAAGAAUUGAAAUUACGUUUCUUACUUUCCCAUGCAGACAUAGACAUAGACUUUAGGUUUGGACGUAGACAAUUAGACAUAGACAGUGCACAUACAUUACACCUAGAGUACCGUACCUAUACAAUACCCUUACAGACAUAUAAAGUGCAAGACUGGGCAACAGCAGACAUACAUAGAACAUGUAUUAAGAAGAGGUAUUGUUGUGCAUUUUCAGUUAUGUCCUAUUGUGAUGAUUCUGACAUGGUGAUAGUAGCAUUGUGAAAUAAUAAUAAAUAUAAAGUACCGGUAAGCAAUUGUAAAGUGCAAUAUUUACAACUAGUUGGUAGCUAGUUUUCCAGUACAGUCAUUCAAGUAACAGGCAUAAAGCAGCAGAAACAUGUGCGUGUGUGCUUUUUUUGAGUCAUUGUAGUGUGUGUGUGUGUUUUGAGUCAGUGCAAGUAGAAUGUGCAAUCACGAUGCAGUGUAGGGGGGGCUAUGUGUGUGUGUGUGUGUGUG